UACAGAGGUCCCGAGCGUUGUUCGGAAUUAUUGGGCGUAAAGGGCGCGUAGGCGGCCUGGCAAGUGAAAGGUGAAAUCCCUCGGCUUAACCGAGGAACUGCCUUUCAGACUGCUUGGCUUGAGACCGGGAGAGGUGAGUGGAAUUCCCAGUGUAGCGGUGAAAUGCGUAGAUAUUGGGAGGAACACCAGUGGCGAAGGCGGCUCACUGGACCGGUACUGACGCUGAUGCGCGAAAGCGUGGGGAGCAAACAGG
rnacentral:rRNA from 1 species